GGAGGAAUAGCUCAGUGGUAGAGCACAUGCUUAUCAAGUAGGAGGUCCUGGGUUCAAAGCUCAGUACCUCCA